rnacentral:lncRNA from 1 species
GUGAGUCAUCAGCGUUAGUUCUGGUGCGGUACGGCCCCGGCUCUUUGCCUGGUUCCGUCCUCCAGGAGCGCAGGAUGAGCAAGACCGCACCCGGGGGAUCAGGCUGUGGUCCAAUCGAGGGUAAAAUUCCACGUGCCCCGGUUUCAGACUGGCGCUGGGAAGUUAGGAGUAGAACAAGUUUCUGUGGGUCAGGAACUUGGGAGCUAAAUUCUGGUUCAGGGCCUCCCAUAAAGUUGCGUGAAGAUGUCACCUGGGGCUGUGAUCAUCUGAAGGCCUGACUGGUGCUGGAGAAUCCACUCCCUGGGGGACUCACUCACGUGACUGGCAACAGGAGCACUCACAUUGCAUUGUUGAGGGUAGACCGGCUGAGCGUGAGGGGAACCUACCACAGGGAACAGAGGAGGGAGAUGACGAGUAUUGUGUGCACCUUGAGACAAGCUGCAGCAGCAAGGACCAAGCAGAAGACGGAAGAGCAUUUCCUGACACUUAGUAAAUGAACGAAGUCUAACUGAGAGGAUUCAACAUGUCAGAGCUGCAAGAAGAAUGGCAGAGGCCACAUGGUAGCCGAGAGCAACAGAGACAGCACCGGGGGACCCUCAGAGACAGUGAGAGGUUUGGAAGGGGGCCUCGAGCUCCUACGGGUGGGAGCAGCGUUGAAGAAGUCCGUUUGCCUGGGAGUCUGGGGCUGGAUUCAGAAGAUGCAUCAUCACAGUGCCAGCUGAUGCCUUUGCUGUGGCUCCUUCCCCCAGAGGUGGUGUUUGAUAAUAGGGUUUUGUGGCAGGCCAUCCCCUCCAUCCGUUCUUGAUGGUCAGAAGGCAGGAGAGGCUGAGAGGUUGUCACCU